rnacentral:misc_RNA from 1 species
UUGUUUUUUGUUAUGGCAAUCUACAUUCAUUACACUGUGUUUCAGGUGUUUUGCGUCCGGGGCACAAGAGCCCCGAGACGUACAGUUCACGGUGUGUGUGGAAUAGACACGGCCAGAGGCCAAUCUCUAAUGAUCCUUCCGCAGGUUCACCUACGGAAA